CUACUAUGGUGGGCUGUGUUCCCAACCUUGUAUUUGUCACUGGCGACCUCUAGCGGUAAACUACAAUUUACAUUGAAGUGACGUACCAUAGUGCGCUUGUCAUAUGACUAUCGAGGUCUAUACAAUUUUGGACAAUCCGGAUAUAGCAGAGAAAAUCGAUCAGUUGGACAUGCGACUCAAUACUUGACGUGCACUUUAUGUCAAAGAUCCUGAUAAAAACUAGAAUGCCAUUGUCAACAGCACUCAUCCCUCUCGCUUUGUUCAUUGCAGUAGCAACACGAUCCAGAGGCAGUGAUGAGUGUGUGGCCCGUAACUUUGGCCAUGGCUCAGUGGUGUGUGAGUGUAACUCCACCCACUGUGACAGUAUUGGGUCGGACACACUGCCUGCACUGGGUCAGUUCCUGUCCUUCACCAGCAGUAAGGCUGGCAGCAGGCUGCAGAGAGGACAGGGACAGGUACAGAAGAACAGCACUGGAGCAGUUCUCAGGCUGACUGUGGUUCCCUACCAGAAGUACCAGAGGAUCAGAGGGUUUGGAGGAGCCAUGACAGACUCAGCUGCCAUCAACAUCCUGUCUCUGUCCCCCAGAACACAGGACCAGCUACUACGACAGUACUUCUCUGCUCAGGGUAUUGGGUACAGUGUGGUGCGGGUGCCCAUUGCCAGCUGUGACUUCUCAACCCAUCUGUACACCUACGCUGACUCACCUGGCGACUACAACCUGGAUAACUUUACCUUAUCACCAGAGGACACGAACAUGAAGAUCCCCCUGCUGCAGCGAGCCCAGGCCCUGUCGCCCCGCCCCCUGUCUCUGCUGGCCAGUGCCUGGAGCGCCCCCGCAUGGUUGAAGACCAACAGUGCUCUCACUGGCAAGGGCUCUCUGAAGGGCCAGCCUGGGGGCAAGGAGCACAAGACCUGGGCUAAAUACUAUGUCAGGUUCCUGGAGGAGUAUGCCAAAUACAACCUAUCAUUCUGGGCCGUGACCACAGGCAACGAGCCCUCUGCUGGACAGAUGACCAACUACAGUUUCCAGGCUCUGGGCUUCACAGCAGAGGAGCAGAGGGAUUGGGUGGGCCUGGACCUUGGCCCCGCCCUGCACACCUCCACACACCACCACACACACCUCCUCAUCCUGGACGACAACAGACUGCUACUGCCACACUGGGCUAAAGUGGUCCUCAGUGAUGUGCGUGCUGGCAGGUAUAUCCAUGGUGUUGGAGUCCACUGGUACCUGGACACCCUGGUGCCGGCAGAGCUCUCCCUGGGCACUACCCACCACCUGUACCCAGAAUACUACCUGUUUGGAACGGAGGCCUGCGCUGGCUGGAGCCCCUCAGACAGAGGAGUACGGCUGGGCAGCUGGGAGAGAGCUGAGCAGUACGCACACAGCAUCAUACAGGACCUGAACCACUAUGUGGUGGGCUGGACAGACUGGAACCUGGCUCUGGACCAAGGAGGAGGGCCCAACUGGGUGAAGAACUUUGUGGACAGCCCCAUCAUCGUUGACCACAGCCGAGACAUCUUCUACAAACAGCCCACCUUCUAUAGCAUGGCCCACUUCAGGUACUGUACUGUCCCACCUUCUAUAGCAUGGCCCACUUCAGGUACUGUACUGUCCCACCUUCUAUAGCAUGGCCCACUUCAGGUACUGUACUGUCCCACCUUCUAUAGCAUGGCCCACUUCAGGUACUGUACUGUCCCACCUUCUAUAGCAUGGCCCACUUCAGGUACUGUACUGUCCCACCUUCUAUAGCAUGGCCCACUUCAGGUACUGUACUGUCCCACCUUCUAUAGCAUGGCCCACUUCAGGUACUGUACUGUCCCACCUUCUAUAGCAUGGCCCACUUCAGGUACUGUACUGUCCCACCUUCUAUAGCAUGGCCCACUUCAGGUACUGUACUGUCCCACCUUCUAUAGCAUGGCCCACUUCAGGUACUGUACUGUCCCACCUUCUAUAGCAUGGCCCACUUCAGGUACUGUACUGUCCCACCUUCUAUAGCAUGGCCCACUUCAGGUACUGUACUGUCCCACCUUCUAUAGCAUGGCCCACUUCAGGUACUGUACUGUCCCACCUUCUAUAGCAUGGCCCACUUCAGGUACUGUACUGUCCCACCUUCUAUAGCAUGGCCCACUUCAGGUACUGUACUGUCCCACCUUCUAUAGCAUGGCCCACUUCAGGUACUGUACUGUCCCACCUUCUAUAGCAUGGCCCACUUCAGGUACUGUACUGUCCCACCUUCUAUAGCAUGGCCUACUUCAGGUACUGUACUUUCCCACCUUCUAUAGCAUGGCCCACUUCAGGUACUGUACUGUCCCACCUUCUAUAGCAUGGCCCACUUCAGGUACUGUACUGUCCCACCUUCUAUAGCAUGGCCCACUUCAGGUACUGUACUGUCCCACCUUCUAUAGCAUGGCCCACUUCAGGUACUGUACUGUCCCACCUUCUAUAGCAUGGCCCACUUCAGGUACUGUACUGUCCCACCUUCUAUAGCAUGGCCUACUUCAGGUACUGUACUGUCCCACCUUCUAUAGCAUGGCCCACUUCAGGUACUGUACUGUCCCACCUUCUAUAGCAUGGCCCACUUCAGGUACUGUACUGUCCCACCUUCUAUAGCAUGGCCCACUUCAGUAAGUUCCUGUGGGAGGGGUCUCAGAGAGUGGGUGUGUCCUUCAGUCAGGAAACAAAACUGGAAAGCUCUGCCUUCAUCAGGCCAGACGGGUCAGUGGUGCUUACC